GGGCACAUGGUGUAGUUGGUUAUCACAUCCGCUUAGCAUCCAGUACAAUUGAACAAUCAAACUAUGUUGAUCUGCGGGGGGUGCUGGGUUCAAUUCCCAGUGUGUCCA